rnacentral:rRNA from 1 species
AUUGAACGCUGGCGGCAUGCUUUACACAUGCAAGUCGAACGGCAGCGCGGGCUUCGGCCUGGCGGCGAGUGGCGAACGGGUGAGUAAUGCAUCGGAACGUGCCCAGUAGUGGGGGAUAGCCCGGCGAAAGCCGGAUUAAUACCGCAUACGACCUGAGGGUGAAAGCGGGGGACCGAAAGGCCUCGCGCUAUUGGAGCGGCCGAUGUCGGAUUAGCUAGUUGGUGGGGUAAAGGCUUACCAAGGCGACGAUCCGUAGCUGGUCUGAGAGGACGACCAGCCACACUGGGACUGAGACACGGCCCAGACUCCUACGGGAGGCAGCAGUGGGGAAUUUUGGACAAUGGGGGCAACCCCGAUCCAGCCAUGCCGCGUGCGGGAAGAAGGCCUUCGGGUUGUAAACCGCUUUUGUUCGGGAAGAAAUCCUCUGGGCUAAUACCCCGGGGGGAUGACGGUACCGGAAGAAUAAGCACCGGCUAACUACG